UACGUAGGGUGCAGGCGUUAAUCGGAAUUACUGGGCGUAAAGCGUGCGCAGGCGGUCUGCUAAGACAGGUGUGAAAUCCCCGGGCUUAACCUGGGAACUGCGCUUGUAACUGGCAGGCUGGAGUGUGGCAGAGGGGGGUGGAAUUCCACGUGUAGCAGUGAAAUGCGUAGAGAUGUGGAGGAACACCGAUGGCGAAGGCAGCCCCCUGGGCUAACACUGACGCUCAUGCACGAAAGCGUGGGGAGCAAACAGG
rnacentral:rRNA from 1 species